rnacentral:piRNA from 1 species
UGAACUGGCUAUUUUAAAUCC